GGUGGCGACCGGCGCACGGGUGCGUAACGCGUAUGCAACCUACCUUAUACAGGGGGAUAGCCCAGAGAAAUUUGGAUUAAUACCCCAUAGUAUCAUCAGAUGGCAUCUGAAGAUGAUUAAAGAUUUAUUGGUAUAAGAUGGGCAUGCGUUAGAUUAGCUAGUUGGUGAGGUAACGGCUCACCAAGGCGACGAUCUAUAGGGGACCUGAGAGGGUGAUCCCCCACACUGGUACUGAGAUACGGACCAGACUCCUACGGGAGGCAGCAGUAGGGAAUAUUGGUCAAUGGAGGAGACUCUGAACCAGCCAUGCCGCGUGCAGGAAGACGGCCUUCUGGGUUGUAAACUGCUUUUGACAGGGAAGAAAACGUCCAUGCGUGGAUAACUGACGGUACCUGUAGAAUAAGCACCGGCUAACUCCGUGCCAGCAGCCGCGGUAAUACGGAGGGUGCAAGCGUUGUCCGGAUUUAUUGGGUUUAAAGGGUGCGUAGGCUGUAGAUUAAGUCAGAGGUGAAAUCCAACAGCUCAACUGUUGAACUGCCUUUGAUACUGGUUUACUUGAGUAUAGAUGAGGUAGGCGGAAUUUAUGGUGUAGCGGUGAAAUGCAUAGAUACCAUAAGGAACACCGAUAGCGAAGGCAGCUUACUAAACUAUAACUGACGCUGAGGCACGAAAGCAUGGGGAUCGAACAGGAUUAGAUACCCUGGUAGUCCAUGCUGUAAACGAUGAUUACUCGAUGU
rnacentral:rRNA from 1 species